ensembl:lncRNA
GGGCACACGAGCCUCACUGCUACGUAUGGGCGUGUGGGACAGAAGCCAUUUUGAUUCGUGUCUCUGUUUAAAUCGCUGGGUGGGGUUUUGCACAGUUAAACAUGGGGUGGGGCGGGGGGUUGGUGUGUAAAUAGUUCCGUCUUGCACAGUGAAUCAAAGAUACUCUCUGGCCUGUGGAUGUUGCAUUAUGUUUACCCCGAUGAAAAUUACCGAUCAUGUUCAGAAAAACAAAGAGGAUUUAAAAAAAAUAAAGAAAUGCAAAAAACCCUCACGAGGCGGGGUAUAUAUGUGAUGUGAUUGUUUUGUCUAUGCAGGAGACUCGCGGUUAACAGUGUGCGGCUGUCAUUUAACUCAGUAUAACGACGACGCCACUAGAUCACCGUAAACCAACCCGUUCUCUUUCUCUCGUCCAACACUUCUCUCCGUCUUUAGUACGAGCACUUCCCCUUCUCCCUGUUUAAAAGCCAAGCUCUGUGGUGCCCAAGGGUUUGAGGCCUGGAAGGACCCACCGUGCCCGGGCCUCAGGGUUUGGUUCUAGGCCUGGAAGGACCAACCGUAGCCUGGCUUCAGGGUUUGGUUUGAGGUUCCCUGGCUUCAGGGUUUGGUCUGAGGUUCCCUGGCCUCAGGGUUUGGUUGGAGGCCUGGAAGGACACACCGUAACCUGGCCUCCGAUUCUUUCUCCGGUGCUAGGACGUCGGCAGCCAUCACAGCCUCAGGACAAUCUAAAGCCUACUGUACUACCUACACUCCAUCGCUGUGGUUACCUUGGUAACAACCUAGUGAGGUUUCUAAUCAAAACCUACCAUCUCUGGAAACCUGCUUCAAUGUCCUUAACCAACCACACACCUGCUGGACCAUGUCCAUUUGGUCGAUACUAAAGUACUACGGUUUGAGAGAAAACAUUAAAAAAAGUUAUAUCUAUCUAUCUAUAGAUGUAUAUAUAGAUAUACAUGCAUACACUUUUGGGUGAGUGAAACAUUUGUCCUUUAAAUGUUUUAUACUUUGUACAUUUGUAUGUAACAUAUCAUGUAAAUAGAGAGAGGGAGAGACAGUGAUUUAACUCAUCUGGAGGAUUUUGUAGUCUUUGUAAAGCCCCAAUAAAUGGUAUUUGGUGUCAGCAAACUUCUACCCGUGUUUCUGUGCAUGGUUGUGAUAAUUGUUUGUACUAGAUUCUCCUUUUAAGGCCUAUACUGGGAAAUGUGAAAGUUUAAUUCAACAAGAAAGAGUUCAGCAAAACCACUUUCCUGAUCACCACUUUGAUUUAGAACUUUGACAAAGUAAAGAAGGCU